GAUGAACGCUGGCGGCGUGCCUAAUACAUGCAAGUCGAGCGAACGGACGAGAAGCUUGCUUCUCUGAUGUUAGCGGCGGACGGGUGAGUAACACGUGGAUAACCUACCUAUAAGACUGGGAUAACUUCGGGAAACCGGAGCUAAUACCGGAUGAUAUUUUGAACCGCAUGGUUCAGAAGUGAAAGACGGUCUUGCUGUCACUUAUAGAUGGAUCCGCGCUGCAUUAGCUAGUUGGUAAGGUAACGGCUUACCAAGGCAACGAUGCAUAGCCGACCUGAGAGGGUGAUCGGCCACACUGGAACUGAGACACGGUCCAGACUCCUACGGGAGGCAGCAGUAGGGAAUCUUCCGCAAUGGGCGAAAGCCUGACGGAGCAACGCCGCGUGAGUGAUGAAGGUCUUCGGAUCGUAAAACUCUGUUAUUAGGGAAGAACAUAUGUGUAAGUAACUGUGCACAUCUUGACGGUACCUAAGCAGAAAGCCACGGCUAACUACGU
rnacentral:rRNA from 1 species